rnacentral:rRNA from 1 species
AAAGGGUGGUAAUGCCGGAUGCUCCAGUUGAUCGCAUGGUCUUCUGGGAAAGCUUUCGCGGUAUGGGAUGGGGUCGCGUCCUAUCAGCUUGACGGCGGGGUAACGGCCCACCGUGGCUUCGACGGGUAGCCGGCCUGAGAGGGCGACCGGCCACAUUGGGACUGAGAUACGGCCCAGACUCCUACGGGAGGCAGCAGUGGGGAAUAUUGCACAAUGGGCGCAAGCCUGAUGCAGCGACGCCGCGUGAGGGAUGGAGGCCUUCGGGUUGUAAACCUCUUUUAUCGGGGAGCAAGCGAGAGUGAGUUUACCCGUUGAAUAAGCACCGGCUAACUACGUGCCAGCAGCCGCGGUAAUACGUAGGGUGCAAGCGUUAUCCGGAAUUAUUGGGCGUAAAGGGCUCGUAGGCGGUUCGUCGCGUCCGGUGUGAAAGUCCAUCGCUUAACGGUGGAUCCGCGCCGGGUACGGGCGGGCUUGAGUGCGGUAGGGGAGACUGGAAUUCCCGGUGUAACGGUUGAAUGUGUACAUAUCGGGAA